rnacentral:lncRNA from 1 species
GGUAUGGGUGUGUCCCAAUCCUAUGUUUUAAAAAAAAUUGUAAAAAAUCUCCAUGUUCCACCAAUUUUUUCCAAAAAAUAUUUUUAUUCUGUGUUUGUGAGUUAUUGUGAGAAAGUUUUAUUUUGACCAUUUGUGAGCUUGGCCUUAUUUAUAUAUACCUCAGUAUUUAUCAUCAACUUUAUUGUCAGCCCUAGGUAAAUUGUUUAGACAAAACUGUUGUUAUAUUUUCUUUGAAUCUCUUUUAUAAAUUUUGUUAGCUUGUUCUAGCUAUAAACUUUAAGACUUACAAUUUUUUCCAAAAUUAUACGAUUGAUUGGGUUUUUUUUCUUCGAUUGAUGCAAUUUAAGAUAGAAUUAUUUCCCUUUGGUUACCAUGGUAGCCAUCUAUGUGGACUAAUGCCUUUGUUAAUUAACAAAAUUCAACUUGUUAUACUGAUUGCUGGACUUAUGAAAACAUUGUUGACUGGUGUUUUUAUUUCUUUAAAACUGCUUUAUUCAUCACUAGGAUCUAGUAAAUAUAUCCUAUUAGUCUUAUGUGUGGGAAUGCAAUUCUGUAAAACUUAAUCCCUAUGGUCCAUGUUAAUCAAACAGACCACUAUUAUAUUGUAUGAAUGUAUCAGAAGUGAUGGUUAGC